rnacentral:rRNA from 1 species
UACAGAGGUCUCAAGCAUUGUUCGGAUUCAUUGGGCGUAAAGGGUGCGUAGGCGGCGCGGUAAGUCGGGUGUGAAAUCUCGGAGCUUAACUCCGAAACUGCAUUCGAUACUGCCGUGCUUGAGGACUGGAGAGGAGACUGGAAUUUACGGUGUAGCGGUGAAAUGCGUAGAUAUCGUAAGGAAGACCAGUGGCGAAGGCGGGUCUCUGGACAGUUCCUGACGCUGAGGCACGAAGGUCAGGGGAGCAAACGGG